UACGUAGGGCGCAAGCGUUGUCCGGAAUUAUUGGGCGUAAAGCGCGCGCAGGCGGUCUCUUAAGUCUGAUGUGAAAUCCCGUGGCUUAACCACGGGCGGUCAUUGGAAACUGGGGGACUUGAGUGCAGAAGAGAAGAGCGGAAUUCCACGUGUAGCGGUGAAAUGCGUAGAGAUGUGGAGGAACACCAGUGGCGAAGGCGGCUCUUUGGUCUGUAACUGACGCUGAGGCGCGAAAGCGUGGGGAGCGAACAGG
rnacentral:rRNA from 1 species